rnacentral:rRNA from 1 species
GUUGUAUGGUUAAGUGACUAAGCGUACACGGUGGAUGCCUGGGCAGUCAGAGGCGAUGAAGGACGUACUAACUUGCGAUAAGCGCAGAUAAGGCAGUAAGAGCCGUUUGAGUCUGCGAUUUCCGAAUGGGGAAACCCAACUGCAUAAGCAGUUACUGUUAACUGAAUACAUAGGUUAACAGAGCAAACCGGGGGAACUGAAACAUCUAAGUACCCCGAGGAGAAGAAAUCAACCGAGAUUCCGGUAGUAGCGGCGAGCGAACCUGGAUUAGCCCUUAAGCACUCGGUGAAGUAGGUGAACAAGCUGGAAAGCUUGGCGAUACAGGGUGAUAGCCCCGUAACCGACGCUUCAUCGAGCGUGAAAUCGAGUAGGGCGGGACACGUGAUAUCCUGUCUGAAUAUGGGGGGACCAUCCUCCAAGGCUAAAUACUCCUGACUGACCGAUAGUGAACCAGUACCGUGAGGGAAAGGCGAAAAGAACCCCUGUGAGGGGAGUGAAAUAGAACCUGAAACCGUGUACGUACAAGCAGUAGGAGCACCUUCGUGGUGUGACUGCGUACCUUUUGUAUAAUGGGUCAGCGACUUAUAUUCAGUGGCAAGGUUAACCGUAUAGGGGAGCCGUAGCGAAAGCGAGUCUUAACUGGGCGCUCAGUCUCUGGAUAUAGACCCGAAACCGGGUGAUCUAGCCAUGGGCAGGUUGAAGGUUGAGUAACAUCAACUGGAGGACCGAACCGACUAAUGUUGAAAAAUUAGCGGAUGACUUGUGGCUAGGGGUGAAAGGCCAAUCAAACUCGGAGAUAGCUGGUUCUCCCCGAAAGCUAUUUAGGUAGCGCCUCGGACGAAUACUACUGGGGGUAGAGCACUGUUAAGGCUAGGGGGUCAUCCCGACUUACCAACCCUUUGCAAACUCCGAAUACCAGUAAGUACUAUCCGGGAGACACACGGCGGGUGCUAACGUCCGUCGUGGAGAGGGAAACAACCCAGACCGCCAGCUAAGGUCCCAAAGUAUUGCUAAGUGGGAAACGAUGUGGGAAGGCUCAGACAGCUAGGAUGUUGGCUUAGAAGCAGCCAUCAUUUAAAGAAAGCGUAAUAGCUCACUAGUCGAGUCGGCCUGCGCGGAAGAUGUAACGGGGCUAAGCAAUACACCGAAGCUGCGGCAAUGUCUUUUAGACAUUGGGUAGGGGAGCGUUCUGUAAGCCGUUGAAGGUGAAUCGUAAGGUUUGCUGGAGGUAUCAGAAGUGCGAAUGCUGACAUGAGUAACGACAAAGGGGGUGAAAAACCUCCUCGCCGGAAGACCAAGGGUUCCUGUCCAACGUUAAUCGGGGCAGGGUGAGUCGACCCCUAAGGUGAGGCCGAAAGGCGUAAUCGAUGGGAAACGGGUUAAUAUUCCCGUACUUCUGACUAUUGCGAUGGGGGGACGGAGAAGGCUAGGUGGGCCAGGCGACGGUUGUCCUGGUUCAAGUGCGUAGGCUUGAGA